GUGAUCAAGUGGGUUGGCAAGGGGCUUCAGGAAAACGGGCGGCAUACCCACACCAGAGGUUCCUCAUCUGGAGAGCGAUGGGGCAUGAUCCCUUAGGGCUUGCAAACAAUAGCGAGGAAACUGAGUAUAGGCAGUGUUAUUAGCAUGGAGAAGAACUCCAGGUGCUGUGUGAUAUGGGUCCUCUCAGUUGUGUAUCCUGGUUACAGGUUCCAGAGCAGGUACAGAUAUAGAAUGGCUUCCACAAGAAGACCCUUUGGCCCUCCACGUAGUGGUUUUGACUUAAGGGAUAUGUUCUUAGAUAGCUCGAGGAUGGAAGAGAUCAGAAACUUACAAGCCCGAAGUCUUGGCCAAGUGACACCUGGGCAGAGCAGAAUCUUAAAGAGAAACCAAACGAUGGACGAGAAAUAUUUGAUGCCCAAAGAGGAGGCCAUGGCAGGGAGGGGGGUGAGUCUGGGCUUGAGGCCUCCCACCAUCUCCUCCAAGACCAGAGCCAGUGAGGCCCUUAGGAAACUGGCCCAGAUUGAAACCAAGAUCCUGAAUCGGAAGCAGGUGCCCAUGGCUUGGUCUGAUGUGGAGUCUGACUCCACAUCCAUCGAGCAGAGUCUUCCUAAGAGGACAGGUGCAGCUUCUGUUUCUUCCCAGUACCCACACAGAACUUUCCAGAAACAAGUGAACAAAACAUGUGUGUCAAAGAGCGAUGGGCCGAGUGGUAACGGUAGCAGGUUUCUGAAGAAGAAGGAGCUGCCCACUGAAGCGAGGUCCCCAGGGCUGGCAGUGGGGACAGGGAAGCAAGCUCUGCUGCCCACAAAGAAAGAAUCUGCCAGUGACGAGGAGGAGGAAAUGCUACUGCUUAGAAGCUUGAUGGAAUCUUCUAGAGAAAAAGAAGCAAAUAGAAACCAGGAGCUCCCUGGCUCCAGUGUCAGCAGGAGCAACCUUGGAAAGGUGUUCUUGGAUCCAACUCCAGAUCAGCCAGGAGUCCUGUCUCUACUCAGUGUUGACCAGUCCAGCUUAAAGUCUCCUCGGCCCAUACAGUCGACUCGCGUUGGCUUGAGAACUCACUCCCGACAGGCGAGCAGUGCUGGGGACACAGUCUCCAUCACAGCCUCACCUCCCAUCCUUGAUGACUUCUCCAAAUCAGCAUCUUCAAAGAUGGGAUGCAUCAAGCUGGCUUCCUCCCCCAGCAGGACGGAGUUGGAGUCUUCUGAGGAACCAGUCUCAGAAGCUGCUGCUGACAGCCUCCAUGAUUUUAGAAUUAAUAUUUUGUCGAUUGAUGAUCUGGUUCUGGCUGACGGAGACAAAUCAGAUGGGGACCAGAGAGAGGAAGACUGUGUAAGGGAAGGGAUUUCAGUCAGAAGCUCCUCACCCACAUCACCUACUCGACUGGAAGCGCAGAUGUGGCCCAAGAAUUGUGUGUUUCAGGGCACAGCCACCGUGGUUGGGGAUGGAGAGGGUCUUACCACUGAGAGUGACGUCUCAGAGCCCCCGGGGACCAGCUCCUCAGCAGCUGUCCAGUCUCACAGUAUGUCCAGGGCCCUCACUGCAAGCCCAGCUUACUCAGAGGAUUUUGAGCAGUUCUCUGGUCCCUUGGCCUUGGAGGAGUCGCUUGACAGGACACUGGACACUUUGUCAAAGUUUUCUUCCAGUGGUCAGACAGAUAUCGUUGCCAGACAACCUCUAUCAAGGACAGAAUGGGGCAGGGGUGUGACCAGAGUUGUGAAGGAGACAGCUGUGCAGACACUUGAUCCUGCCUUUGCCUACCAGUGGAGCAAGGAAGCCCUUGUAGCACCCUCAACAGCUUCUUUGUCUUGGGCCAGCUGGUGGCAUAGCAGCUGUUGGACCUGCCCUUGGAGGUGCUUAUGUGGACCCAGCACCCAUCGCCAGUCACAUUGUCAGCGCAGACGCCAUAGAAGCCCUGACAGCCUACAGCCCAGCAGUUCUGGCGUUGAAUGACAUGCUAAAGCAACAACUGAGCCUGACGCAGCAGUUCAUCGAGGCCAGCCAUCAACUACAUGGUUCUCUCCUGCAGUCCCUGGAUGGGGACUCAUUUCACUACCAUACCUUGGAGGAAGCAAAAGAGUACAUCAGAUGCCACAGGCCUGCACCCCUGACCAUGGAGGCUGCCCUGCAGGAGGUGAGGGAGGAGCUCCAAGUCCCAGCAAGUGAGGCUUGCCUGGGUACCUGUCCACCUCGGAAUCAAUGACAUCCAUAUGGAGGCAGGCAAGGUUGGGGUUCUCCCUGCUCAAUAACAAUCAUAUAUGGACUCUACGCUCCCAUCUGCCCAGCUGGCUGCUCUGAGGAUACAGCAUGAGAACAGCUGAGAACCCAUCACAGGACAGUGGUGUGGUAUGGGGCCAUGAGCCAGUUGGACAGACAACAUGUGUUAGGCAUUCCAAUCAUCCAAGAUGGGACCAGCUGCCCCAUGGGAACACUCCAUGCCAGGUGCUGAAACAGGUAUGAGCCUGGUGCCUGGGCACAGCCUGCAUCUAUCCAGAGCAGCCUGCACAGUAUCUCUCAUCCACAGCUAGAGGAAAUCUUUUACAAAAGGCUUUAUUGGAAGGCAAAACAGUAAAAUCCACAAUUGUUAACAGCA